rnacentral:rRNA from 1 species
GACGAACGCUGGCGGCGUGCUUAACACAUGCAAGUCGAACGGAAAGGCCCUGCUUUUGUGGGGUGCUCGAGUGGCGAACGGGUGAGUAACACGUGAGUAACCUGCCCUUGACUUUGGGAUAACUUCAGGAAACUGGGGCUAAUACCGGAUAGGAGCACCUGCUGCAUGGUGGGGGUUGGAAAGUUUCGGCGGUUGGGGAUGGACUCGCGGCUUAUCAGCUUGUUGGUGGGGUAGUGGCUUACCAAGGCUUUGACGGGUAGCCGGCCUGAGAGGGUGACCGGCCACAUUGGGACUGAGAUACGGCCCAGACUCCUACGGGAGGCAGCAGUGGGGAAUAUUGCACAAUGGGCGGAAGCCUGAUGCAGCAACGCCGCGUGCGGGAUGUCGGCCUUCGGGUUGUAAACCGCUUUCGCCUGUGACGAAGCGUGAGUGACGGUAAUGGGUAAAGAAGCACCGGCUAACUACGUGCCAGCAGCCGCGGUGAUACGUAGGGUGCGAGCGUUGUCCGGAUUUAUUGGGCGUAAAGGGCUCGUAGGUGGUUGAUCGCGUCGGAAGUGUAAUCUUGGGGCUUAACCCUGAGCGUGCUUUCGAUACGGGUUGACUUGAGGAAGGUAGGGGAGAAUGGAAUUCCUGGUGGAGCGGUGGAAUGCGCAGAUAUCAGGAGGAACACCAGUGGCGAAGGCGGUUCUCUGGGCCUUUCCUGACGCUGAGGAGCGAAAGCGUGGGGAGCGAACAGGCUUAGAUACCCUGGUAGUCCACGCUGUAAACGGUGGGUACUAGGUGUGGGGUCCAUUCCACGGGUUCCGUGCCGUAGCUAACGCUUUAAGUACCCCGCCUGGGGAGUACGGCCGCAAGGCUAAAACUCAAAGGAAUUGACGGGGCCCCGCACAAGCGGCGGAGCAUGCGGAUUAAUUCGAUGCAACGCGUAGAACCUUACCUGGGUUUGACAUGGAUCGGGAGUGCUCAGAGAUGGGUGUGCCUCUUUUGGGGUCGGUUCACAGGUGGUGCAUGCCUGUCGUCAGCUCGUGUCGUGAGAUGUUGGGUUAAGUCCCGCAACGAGCGCAACCCUUGUUCACUGUUGCCAGCACGUUAUGGUGGGGACUCAGUGGAGACCGCCGGGGUCAACUCGGAGGAAGGUGGGGAUGACGUCAAGUCCUCAUGCCCCUUAUGUCCAGGGCUUCACGCAUGCUACAAUGGCUGGUACAGAGAGUGGCGAGCCUGUGAGGGUGAGCGAAUCUCGGAAAGCCGGUCUCAGUUCGGAUUGGGGUCUGCAACUCGACCUCAUGAAGUCGGAGUCGCUAGUAAUCGCAGAUCAGCAACGCUGCGGUGAAUACGUUCCCGGG